rnacentral:rRNA from 1 species
GUCCACGGCCAGGCCACUAGAGCGAGCCGAUCCCGUCUGAUCUCGGAAGCUAAGCAGGGUCGGGCUUCAUCAGUACUUGGAUGGGAGACCACCCAGGAAGACCAGGUGCUUUAGGUG